ACAAGCGGUGGAGCAUGUGGUUUAAUUCGAUGCAACGCGAAGAACCUUACCUGGGCUUGACAUCCCUGGAAUCCCCUGGGAAACAGGGGAGUGCCCUUCGGGGAGCCAGGAGACAGGUGCUGCAUGGCUGUCAUCAGCUCGUGUCGUGAGAUGUUGGGUUAAGUCCCGCAACGAGCGCAACCCCUACGUUUAGUUGCUAACGUGUAACGAUGAGCACUCUAGGCGGACUGCCGUUGACAAAACGGAGGAAGGUGGGAUGACGUCAAAUCAUCAUGCCCCUUAUGUUCUGGGCUACACACGUGCUACAAUGGCCGGUACAAAGGGACGCAAAGCCGCGAGGUGGAGCAAAUCCGAUAAAAGCCGGUCUCAGUUCGGAUUGCAGGCUGCAAUUCGCCUGCAUGAAGUCGGAAUCGCUAGUAAUCGCAGGUCAGCAUACUCGCGGUCGAAUACGUUCCGGGCCUU
rnacentral:rRNA from 1 species